CGCGUAGGCGGUCUCUUAAGUCAGGUGUGAAAGCCCGGGGCUCAACCCCGGAAGUGCAUUUGAAACUAAGGGACUUGAGUAUGGGAGAGGGAAGUGGAAUUCCUGGUGUAGCGGUGAAAUGCGUAGAUAUCAGGAGGAACACCGGUGGCGAAGGCGACUUCCUGGACCAAUACUGACGCUGAGGCGCGAAGGCGUGGGUAGCAAAACA
rnacentral:rRNA from 1 species